GACGAACGCUGGCGGCGUGCCUAAUACAUGCAAGUCGAGCGCAGGAAACUGACGGAACUCUUCGGAGGGAAGGCAGUGGAAUGAGCGGCGGACGGGUGAGUAACACGUAAGGAACCUGCCUCAAGGAUUGGGAUAACUCCGAGAAAUCGGAGCUAAUACCGGAUAGUUCAACGGACCGCAUGGUCCGCUGAUGAAAGGCGCUCCGGCGUCACCUUGAGAUGGCCUUGCGGUGCAUUAGCUAGUCGGUGGGGUAACGGCCCACCAAGGCGACGAUGCAUAGCCGACCGGAGAGGGGGAUCGGCCACACUGGGACUGAGACACGGCCCAGACGCCUACGGGAGGCAGCAGUAGGGAAGCUUCCACAAUGGACGAAAGUCUGAUGGAGCAACGCCGCGGGAGUGAUGAAGGUUUUCGGAUCGUAAAACUCUGUUGUAAGGGAAGAACACGUACGAGAGGGAAUGCUCGUACCUUGACGGUACCUUACGAGAAAGCCACGGCUAACUACGUGCCAGCAGCCGCCGUAAUAC
rnacentral:rRNA from 1 species